CAGGCUUAACACAUGCAAGUCGAGGGGCAGCAUGGUCUUAGCUUGCUAAGGCCGAUGGCGACCGGCGCACGGGUGAGUAACACGUAUCCAACCCGCCGUCUACUCUUGGACAGCCUUCUGAAAGGAAGAUUAAUACAAGAUGGCAUCAUGAGUCCGCAUGUUCACAUGAUUAAAGGUAUUCCGGUAGACGAUGGGGAUGCGUUCCAUUAGAUAGUAGGCGGGGUAACGGCCCACCUAGUCUUCGAUGGAUAGGGGUUCUGAGAGGAAGGUCCCCCACAUUGGAACUGAGACACGGUCCAAACUCCUACGGGAGGCAGCAGUGAGGAAUAUUGGUCAAUGGGCGAGAGCCUGAACCAGCCAAGUAGCGUGAAGGAUGACUGCCCUAUGGGUUGUAAACUUCUUUUAUAAAGGAAUAAAGUCGGGUAUGCAUACCCGUUUGCAUGUACUUUAUGAAUAAGGAUCGGCUAACUCCGUGCCAGCAGCCGCGGUAAUACGGAGGAUCCGAGCGUUAUCCGGAUUUAUUGGGUUUAAAGGGAGCGUAGAUGGAUGUUUAAGUCAGUUGUGAAAGUUUGCGGCUCAACCGUAAAAUUGCAGUUGAUACUGGAUAUCUUGAGUGCAGUUGAGGCAGGCGGAAUUCGUGGUGUAGCGGUGAAAUGCUUAGAUAUCACGAAGAACUCCGAUUGCGAAGGCAGCCUGCUAAGCUGCAACUGACAUUGAGGCUCGAAAGUGUGGGUAUCAAACAGGAUUAGAUACCCUGGUAGUCCACACGGUAAACGAUGAAUACUCGCUGUUUGCGAUAUACAGCAAGCGGCCAAGCGAAAGCGUUAAGUAUUCCACCUGGGGAGUACGCCGGCAACGGUGAAACUCAAAGGAAUUGACGGGGGCCCGCACAAGCGGAGGAACAUGUGGUUUAAUUCGAUGAUACGCGAGGAACCUUACCCGGGCUUAAAUUGCAGAUGAAUUACGGUGAAAGCCGUAAGCCGCAAGGCAUCUGUGAAGGUGCUGCAUGGUUGUCGUCAGCUCGUGCCGUGAGGUGUCGGCUUAAGUGCCAUAACGAGCGCAACCCUUGUUGUCAGUUACUAACAGGUUCCGCUGAGGACUCUGACAAGACUGCCAUCGUAAGAUGUGAGGAAGGUGGGGAUGACGUCAAAUCAGCACGGCCCUUACGUCCGGGGCUACACACGUGUUACAAUGGGGGGUACAGAGGGCCGCUACCACGCGAGUGGAUGCCAAUCCCAAAAACCUCUCUCAGUUCGGACUGGAGUCUGCAACCCGACUCCACGAAGCUGGAUUCGCUAGUAAUCGCGCAUCAGCCACGGCGCGGUGAAUACGUUCCCGGGCCUUGUACACACCGCCCGUCAAGCCAUGGGAGCCGGGGGUACCUGAAGUGCGUAACCGCGAGGAGCGCCCUAGGGUAAAACUGGUGACUGGGGCUA
rnacentral:rRNA from 1 species